ensembl:lncRNA
UGCACAAGUGUUUGUUUUCUUGAGUACCUAACUAAAGUUGCCACACACAGCAAAUGAAUAUUGACUUAAGCGCAGCUGCCAAGGCAAGAGCCGUGUGAAGCUGAGGAAUUCCUUUUCCAACCGUUUGCAGGAACAGACAGCACGCAGCAGAUGAUCCCUGGAGGGGUAUGCUCAGCACACACAAACAUGAUGUUUACUGGCUCUGGGAUGGAUCAGGGAGGGAUUUAGAGACUCCAAGCUUGGCUGUGUGGCUCAGAGAUCACCCUGCAAGUCUGACGGAGGCAGGUCACUGUUGGUCUGACCCAUCCCUGACUUGAAAUGAGUUUGCUCAGCGCAGUGUGAGCUUUAGGAUGUAAAUAUGCUUUAAUUAUCCAGCUUGGUGUUUGCACUGGCGUGACUCCCCUGUCUGUGGGGGCAGCAGCUCUCCGCAGGUCACCUCUCUGCGAAUAGAGGAGGGUGUGAAGCAGCAGAUGGAAGUGAAGGGAUGACUUUUGAAAUGGAGUAAACCCUUCUGCAGGAGCCGUCCGUGGCCUUUUCUGCAAACUGAGAGCAAACAGAUUCACGAGCGAGGAGCAAAACUCUCAUUUCCUGCUAUCUACAAACCAGUCUGAACCAAGGAACCAAUCUGAGUUCCUGUGCUUGCACAGAGCGCGUUCCUUUUAAUAUCCCACACCCCCCGAUGGGAGCCCGCAGACAUUAAUUGCUUGCGAAGGCUCUCUGAAGUGUUUCACUUGGUGGAUGUAUUUCGUGAUCUCCAAGCAGCACUUGUGAGAAGCAGCAACGUGCGUCGCCGACGGACCGCCUGAUUCCUCACCAACUGCUUUCUGUCACCGCAGCCCCUGACUUUGUCACAGCCAGCAGCACGGGGAGGGGAGAGCUGUGCGGGGUUGAGACAGAGGGCAAAGCUCUUGGAAAUCAAUGCUUGAAUUGCUGGGAGAAAGCGUGGCAUCACAGUAAUCCCUCUGGGACAGCCGACCUUUAUUUCUCUCUUUCCCCUCUCUUCGGUCGAUGCGACAGCUUUACGCACAGAAGGGCCACCAACUUUGGUUUAUUUAUUUAUUUUCCAGCAGCUCUUCACGAGGCUUCUUGGUGGGAAGAGCCUCUGCGUAGGUUGGAGGAACUCCAGCUUGGGUAAAACAACACCUGUUCUUGGUGACCUGCUCAAAGCCGUUUCCCAGGGAUGCCAGCAGGGGUAGCUGGGGUUUGGAUGCUGUCUACAGCGUGGCUCUUUAUUGAUGUGUUACGAGGAUUUCUGUCUUACUUUUAAAAAGAAAACAAAAAAUCCAGCACAGGCGUAUAGAGCAGAGUUUGCUGUCUCUCCAAGGACGAACAAUUAAGGAACAUGACCAAGGGGAAUUUUCCUGGGCUUGGCUGUUCUCAAUCUCCUCAACCACACAUUUGCAGUUCAGUGGGUCGAUGACCAUUCCUUGGGCUUCUCUCCAUCCCUCCGUGCUGGGAAGGAGAACACAUGGCUGCUCCCUUGUGCAAGGCCUUUGACAUGGUCUGACACCUCACGCUAAGUUGGAGAGAUGGAUUUGAAGGCUGGACUGUUGGUUGGAGGAGGACUUGGUUGGGUGGUCAUAAUCAGAGUCGUUAUCAAUGGCUCUAUGUGUGGGUGGAGGUUGGUGAGGAGUGGUGUCCCCCAGAGGUCCAUCCUGGGACUCGUGCUCUGCAGUGACAUAGACAGUGGAACCAAGUCCACCCACAGCAACUUUACUGAUGACAUCAAGCUGAGGGGUGCAGUUGAUACAACAGAAAGAAGGGACGCCAUCCAGAGGGACCUGGACAGGUUUGAGAAGUGGGCCCAAAAGAGCCAAAUGAGGUUCAGCAAGGCCAAGGUGUUCCACCUGGGUUGGGGCAAUCCUGGAUGUCUUCAGGUGCUAGGAAAAAAAAAAAUUCUUUACUCAGAGGGGUUGAGGUGCUGGCACUGCUGCCCAGAGCUGUGGGUUCCCCAUCCCUGGAGGUGCCAAAGGGCGUCCCUGGUCUGAUCUUGUGAGGGGCAUCCAGCGGGGGUUUGAGACUCAAUGGUUGUAGAGGUCCCUUCCAACCUAAACCAUUCCACGAUUCUAUGAUUCCCAUCCCUGUGGCUCCCAUUAACCUCUCCUAAAACACAGCUGCAACCCAAAGCAGGGCUUGUCCAGGACUGGGUGAUUCCAACACCAGUUCUCCUGCUUUGGGGACUGCUUCUGCAUAAGAAGAGAGCCCAGAUCCACAUGUUGUGCUGGGACACACAGACGGUUUGUGAUGGCUUGGAGAGAAGAGUGAGGAAGGAGCAGGGGGGGCUCGGGCUGAGCUGGGGCCCCAGGAGGGAUUUGUGGGAUCCUGCAAUUGCCUGAAUUCAUUUCAAUUAUUGGCGGCGCUUCUCUACAGCACUAAAUAAAGUAAAAUAAAUACAGAAAGCAGAAGGCAAUAUAAAGCAGUUAGAGAGGAUCAGUGGUGAACUGAAUAAUUCAUUCAGGAGAGAAAAAGAGCUAUUUGCUAUGUCAUUCUUAUCUUGAUUGUAUUUAUAGACAGGAACUUUUGACAAGGAAAUUACCUGUAAAUUCUUCUUCUUUUAUUUUUUUUAUCCAUCCAUCCAUCCAUCCAUCCAUCCAUCCAUCCAUCCAUCCAUCCAUUCAUCCCAGCAAAUAAUCAGCAGGAAGACUUAUUGCAGGGUUUAUUUUCUUCUUCCUGAGGCAGUUUGAUGGAAUUGUAUGAAGAACACAAAAUCUCACGACCUCACUCUGAGCCCAGGGAAAGCUGCUGCUGUGAUAGAAAGCGAGAUAACGUUGGGUGGGAACUCAGGAGGGUGAGCAGCAGCGUUCCCCAGUGCCUCCAAGCAGGGAUGGAAGUCACACAUUUGUGUUUCCUAAGCUGCUGUGCACUGUAUUCAGAGCAAAGGCUGAGACUAUGAUGCUGCUCUGAGCUUCUGCCUCUCACCAGUGUUGAUUUGGGGUCUGUCCUUGCAAAUGGGUGUUCUGCAGCUUUGGGGACGAUGAGCGACAGGAGAAGGACACACUGAGAGCCUCUGUGAGCACGGCUUCAGCACCUGCCAGAAGUGUCACUUUAUUCCUCAAGACUUUAUUUGGUGUGAAAGAUGGCUCAAGAAAAUAUGUAUCCCUACUGAGUUUAUUUGGCAGAGGGACACCGCGGGGCUACAGAAGUUUAUUUACUGCUCUCAUGCUGCAUAUUUGCUCUUUGUUUAUUGAUUGGGAGAGAGAUGGGGCCACAGGAGAGGGCUUUGCCCCCUGGUCCCCCCCAGAGGGGGUCAGCCCCCCAAGAACUGCCCAUGUGCUGAGAUCUGCUCCUGCUGCUGGUGCUUCAAUAGCAUCCAUCAAACCCACGGUGCAGUGGGCUGAGUUCUGUGUAGAGCAGCAGGGAUGGCUCUGCUGUCCUGGAGGCUCUUUGGGGUCACUCUUUGCUUUCUCACCCCACAACGCAACCCUGGAGAGACCUCACAGAAAUUCACCCUGGAGAAACCACUGUUCCUACAGAAGCCCUGCUUCUGCUUCCUAAUAGACAUCGAUGUAAUUUGUUUUCUGAGCAGCAUUGGGGAAAUGUGCAUUGCUCGCCGAACCUCCCAUUUGCAUUGAAGGAAGUCAUAAUUUGAGCGAAGCGUGAAACACUCACGGCAAACUUCUUGUCUCUGUGAGCGCACUGGAGCUCAGCCUCGUGUAUAAUUGAGUUGUUAUAAUGAAGUCUGGGUUUGGUUCUUCAAGAAGGAAUUUGUUUAGAAAAGAGACUCUCAACUUAAUUUAGAUUUCACGCUGUUUCUGAGCUGUUGCUGUCAGCGCUGUAGGUCUGGUGGGCCAAUUUGUCCCUGGGGUAAUUUUGGGGAUGUUGAGUGGUGCUGGGUUGGGAUGUGGCUCUCUGAGGAGCUGUAAUAUCCGGAGUCGGUCCCUGUGCAGCAAUCACAGUGCUGCGGAUGAUCCGAGCAGAGAUGGCAUCAGCCCCGAGCAGCGCUAUGCUGGGCUCUGACCCCGCCAGCUGCCAGGACCCUGAUGAUCUCCUGCCAACACCGCACAGCAACAGCCCGGGGCUGUUCUGUCCGAUGGACAUAGGGCUGGGAAAGGGCAGAGACAUCCCAGUUGGGCUAAUUCUGAGGUUCAUGGGAGAAAUGUGGGGGUGAAAGGCUCUGUCUCAUCACCUCCAUCCUAUCACGUCAGUUCCAUUACUUCUGUCCCAUCACCACCAUCUCAAUAUCUCCAUCCCAUCAUGUGCAUUCCAACGCCUUCAUUCUAUCACCUCUGUCCCAUCAUUUUCACCCUAUCACCUCCAUCCCACCAUCUGCAUCCCAACAUCACUGUCUCAUCACCUCCAUCCCACCACCUCUACCCCAACUCAUCCAUCCCAUCACCUGCAUCCUAUCACCUCCAUCCCAUCAUCUCCAUCCCAACACCUUCAUCCCACCAUCUCCAUUUCAUCACUUCUGUUCUACCACAUCAGUCCCAUCAUCUCUGUCCCAUCACCUCUGUCCCAACACCUCCAUCCCAUCGCCUCCAUCCCAUUGCCUUCAUCCCAUCACUUCCAUCCCAUCUCCUCUGUCCCAUCACCUCCAUCCUAUCACCUCCAGGCUCUUUUUGCUCUGCUCCCCUUUGAGGCAGUCCCUCUCCUGACGAGCAGCUGGUGAAUACUUUAGGGGCUCCAGAACGCAUUAACAUCUCUGAGCAAAUAUAAGAGCAACAAGCAAACAAGAUCCCUUUCCUUCUUCUGUGCGUUUUGGUUUUAAAUAUUACGUUUCCAGGGAUAAACGUUGGCAACACUUGAAAUAAAACGUAUUAAUUAAUGAACGAAGCACUUAAUUUAGGUUUAAUGGGAUAAUCCUUUCCUGCAUGUAACAUAAAUAGUAAUUGAAUAUUAAGAAUGCAUUGAGUGAGAAUUAACAACUGUGGGAGAGAGAGCUGCAUUUCACUGCGCUCUUGUUAAACGCGUGGCCCAGCCUGGGUCUCUGGUGUAGGAGAGCUGGAUUCAAAGGCUCUGAAAGUCAAUGGAGAAACUGCUCUGAAAUGGGUUUGCAAAGCAGGGUGAGAAAAUCAGGAUUAGGCUUUUGUUCUUGUGAGAUUCACUGCCUGACCCGGAGCUCAGCUGAACAGAGGGCCCUCUUCACAUCGACUUCCAGAGCAUUUGGAUCAUUCAGCAGCUGAAAUCUAGCCAUCAUCCUAAACACAGCUUUAGGAGGAAUAUAAUAAUGUGGGGGAAUUGGCAGGUAGGGAGGCAAGGGGUGCUUUGUUCCUUACCCAGGCAGUGCUGAGCGUUCUGUUCCCUCUCUGCUGCUGGGAGAUAGCAGAGCCCCGGCCGGCUGCAGGACACGGACAGGCAGGCAGGGAAGUGCUGGGGGCCGUGCUGGAAAAAGGAAAAAUAAAGAAAAAAGAGUGAGAAAAAGUGGACGUUUAACCCAUCUGGAGUCCUUUGCGACAAGCUAUUGGGAUUUCUGUUAUGUCAGGGUUGGAAAGCAGCAGACCAAGCAAGGAGACACCGGCAAUGGGCAGGAGGGGAUGGUGGCAUCUCGGCUGUGCAGCAGAGCUGCAGUAGCACUCCAUGGGCCAUAAGACCCCCCUGGUCACCCCUUCUCCUGCACCCCCAUCUAUGACAGCUGCAGGCAGUGCAGUCCUGCAUCCUGCCUCGUGCUCUGAGUUGAAUCUGCCACCUUUCUUUCAUUGUGGGAUUUAUUUGUUGCCGCUCGCUCAAUUACAUUAUUGCAAAUUGUGAGUGAUAAAACCCUUAAAUUACUUAUAGCUCAUCCUUGUUUAAGAGAAUAAUUAGUGUAUUUCUAAACAGGGAGCAAUUCUUCUCAAUGGGAAACUUAGACUUAAAGGAUGCUUUCCCUGUAACUUACGCUAUGUAAAUAAUUGAUCAUUGAUUACACAAGAGUUUUAUGCUGUCUAGCCCAAAGACUCUCCCUCCUUCUCACGCUACGCUGCAGCUCUCCUUGUGCUGAGGAUCUCUGCAGGCUGGAAGUGCUGCAGAUCCCAUCUGGGGGUCUGCUCAGGACCUUCCCCACAGUAGGGCAGAGAGCAACACAGUGUCCCCUGCAUUCUGGUUCCUAAAUGCUGGCAGCAAACCUGGGGUGCUCCUACUGUGUCCCUGUGCCGUGACCCACCUGCAUGGAAACCCAGAGCUCACGUUCGCUCAACCACAUCCCAGCCUGGCAGCCUCAUUGGAAUUCUGGAGUUGAUCACAGAGUUUCUCCAGCUUUUAUUUUAAUUAUUUUUUUCCCCUGGCCAGAAAAACUGCCUCAAACCUCCGGCGUUUGCCCGUGUCACUGAAACCCAUACGAGUGAUUUAUGCAGCCGGCAGCAGGGAGGUUAUUUAGCUAUUGUUUUAAAAGCAGGUGCAAGGGAGCAGGAAUGGAGACAUAUUUCAUCCGUGCCUCAGCCUCUGCCACCUGGGAGAGGCUGGGAGACAGGUAGGGAGAGCUGCUCCCGUCCGUCUCCUGGGCUGGGAGGAGCUGGAGCCGACAGCAAAUCUCAUGGCAGCGUUUGGACCAUCUCCAUGGCGCUGGGGAUGAUGUGCUGCACAUGGGGUUUGGUGGGAGGAAGCUGAGGGCCCCACAGCUGUGGGUCCCAGCAGGAGGAGCCUCUGCCCCUAUCCUUGCAGGAAACCCACGGCUGCUUUCUGUGCUGCGUGGUGAGGCAGAGCUGUGACUUCCAGCACAACCCAGUUCUCCCUCUACGUUAAUUAAACAGGACAGGAACACGG